UGCAUCUGAGGCCAGUGAGGAUGAGAACCUCCGGGGGCAGGAGGUUCGACUCGAGCGAAGCGAGAGAACGUUGCGUCAGCAACGGCCCGCAGGGCGAGCCA
rnacentral:sRNA from 1 species